UACGAAGGGGGCUAGCGUUGCUCGGAAUCACUGGGCGUAAAGGGUGCGUAGGCGGGUCUUUAAGUCAGGGGGGAAAUCCUGGAGCUCAACUCCAGAACUGCCUUUGAUACUGAGGAUCUUGAGUUCGGGAGAGGUGAGUGGAACUGCGAGUGUAGAGGUGAAAUUCGUAGAUAUUAGGAAGAACACCGGUGGCGAAGGCGGCCCACUGGUCCGGUACUGACGCUGAGGUGCGAAAGCGUGGGGAGCAAACAGG
rnacentral:rRNA from 1 species